AACGAGUGGAAAACAGAAGGAAAAGCAUGCUGGGAUAUGACUGUGUGGAGCUAAAAACAGAAAAAAAGAGGAAAAGAGCUGGCUAGGAGACCCUGAAGAUACCCUGGAUUCUGGAUUCUCUUCUUCACUGAGGAGAAGCGAACCACCUGCAUGGAUUCAGACAAAGCAUCACACCUGUACGAGAAACACCUGUGAACUUCACUUUUCCCGGCCUUGUCAUUGCUGGUUGGAAGGAGCAUCACUGGAUCUCUCUCAGCUUUGCCUGGAUUUCAUCAGAGAGAGCUGUAUUUCUUUUUAAAGAGUGCAGGUUGCACCACUGUCCCCUCCCUGUGCCAGAGCAGCUGAGAUACUGAUGGGGUUAUAAGGAGGAGGCCGAUAUCGUCUUAUCCACUUCCUCCGAGCCGAACAGGGCUUUUAUUGAUCUCUGCCGGAAAGACUACAGCAUCUCCGUAAAAGCCCUUCAGGAGCCGAGCCAAAGCAUGCAUAUGAAUAUCCUGAAGUGACUGGCUUACUGGGCCUUUUCCUCUCUUUUUGUACUGAUGCGGGAGUAAACCUCUCUCACAGAGGAGGAUUACUGCGCCCGGGAGGAGAACCCUGGUGCCAGCGAGGGACUGGAGGAACUGAACUUUAAUGUGAACUUUUACAGUAAA